UCUUGGUGUUUCUGUGUCAGUUACCGAUGACUGAACGUGCAGAUGAAGAAAGGCUCAUAUACGCUGCCAUGUAUCAACACUUGGCUGGGUUGACAUAGUUCAGCUGCCUGGACCUCCGGAUUGGCUAUUGGAUGCAGCCCCAAGAUCGGGUUCGCCAUUAGCCAGGGGCUAUGGCACUUCCAGGGUAUGCCGUUCGGUCUGCGUAACGUCCCACAUCCAUCGGGACGUUAAUGGAGUGCAUCCUGACCCACAUGCCUCCGGAUUGGCUAUGGGAUGCAGCCCCAAGAUCGGGUUCACCAUUGGCCAGGAUGCACUCCCAGGGUGCUCACCCUUUGGCAUGUAGUACUGGAGCUCUCUCAGAGGGCCUGGUGCCCCCCCUGCAAUGGCGCCCUUUUGAAAUGAGGCGCGACGCUGGGGAUUAAGGAGGUCACCUGGUUACAGUCGUAGCUCCACCCGGCUCCUCCAGGUCAGAAGAAACAUCCACAGGAAGACGGACAGCAGACCCUCUCUGGUAGGGAAGGGAGGAGGUCUGUGCUCAACCACGGUUCAUGGGGAGGUCAGGAAAGAAAACACGCAGCCCCACGUCAGAGGCUGUCCUGUAGCAGGGGAUGUAGCUUCCAGCACCAGCCGCUCAGGAGAAGUCCGGGAUAUGGCGACUGAAAGACUUAAACAGACGAUGAUAAGCAAGAAACGCAGCGGAGUGCCGGGUCCUCUCCCCUCCGGUGGCGUGCCGGGUCCUCUCCCCGCCAGCUGAGUGCCGGCUCCUCUC